rnacentral:rRNA from 1 species
UACAGAGGUGCCGAGCGUUAGGCGGAAUCACUGGGCUUAAAGCGUGUGUAGGUGGAUGUCUAAGUACCUUGUGAAAUCCCACGGCUUAACCGUGGAACUGCUCGGUAUACUAGAUGUCUUGAGCCAGCUAGGGGCUACCGGAACAAAUGGUGGAGCGGUGAAAUGCGUAGAUAUCAUUUGGAACGCCAAUGGUGAAAACAGGUAGCUGGGGCUGUGCUGACACUGAGACACGAAAGCCAGGGGAGCGAACGGG